AUUAAUUAAUUAAUUUAUUUUUAAGUUUAAAGAUGGGCAUUCUGAAUUGAAUUGGUUGAUUUAUCUUGUUGGAAAAUAUUGGAAUAGUGCAUGUUGGUCUAAAAAAAUAAUAUAAAAGUAGGUAUUUGAUUUAUUUUAAUAUGUUGUAUUUCAAAAUGAAGGAGGGAUAUACGGUGUAUUGUCAAAUUGUUUAAGUCUAUAAAUUGAUUGUUUUAGUUAUUAUUGUUAUUAGUUAAAAGUAAAUUUAAUAAGUCAUUAACCCAAGUGAAUUAGUAGUUUUGAAGGAAUCCACCUCCUGUAAUAUGUAAUUAGAGUUGUUUACUUGCCCACUUUAUCAUCACUUUGCAUUUAAGAUCCAUCUGUUGGUACCAUAGUUGAAUUAAGUAUAUAAAUAGGUUUGUAAUUUUACAAUGACUUACUUUUGAGGGACAUGGAAUUUCAGUUCUGGAUUUGAAAUUCUUUUUUUUUUUUCUCAAAAUAAUGCUAUACAUUUGGAUUGCAACAAUGAGCUAUUUUUCUUUCUCAAAUGUGUGGGAUUUUUUUUAAAAGUUGUUAAAUUUAGUCAUUUUUGUAUUUACCCUUGUCUACUUCUUUGUGCUAGGAUGGUGCACAUAUUUUUGUACUUUUCUAAGAAAAGAUACUACUUAGAAAUGUAUGUAAUAUACAAAAUAGGAAUUUCUACAUUCAUUACAAAUCAUGUUUUGUUUUUUUAGUUUGCUAAUAUUUUGUGAGUGGUCUAAAUUCAAAGUUUAAGGUGUUGCAUGCUCAUGAUUACUUGUUUGCUAUUUUCUACUAAUGAUAAAGGUUUUUUUUUAACUUCUAUCAUCAUCUAAUUGUCUUCUUAUGAUCAUAGAUAUGCCAGAGAAGAUACACACUAUCUAUUGUAUAUACAUGAUUUAAUGAGAAUCAAGCUGUAUGCAAUGCCUAAAUAGGCCGAAAAUAUUGAUGCUCCGUUAGUAGAGGCCGAAGGUUUCAUCGGCACUUUUCUUCAAUUACAACACCUCGAUGGGACUGCCAUAUCGGGUUUUGGUAGAUACUAACUUCAUCAAUUUCUCUAUCCAGAAUAAACUGGACUUGGAGAAGGGAAUGAUGGACUGCCUAUAUGCAAAAUGCACUCCUUGUAUCACGCAAUGUGUGAUGGCG